rnacentral:rRNA from 1 species
UGGGGAAUAUUGCACAAUGGGCGAAAGCCUGAUGCAGCAACGCCGCGUGAGUGAUGAAGGUCUUCGGAUUGUAAAGCUCUGUCUUUUGGGACGAUAAUGACGGUACCAAAGGAGGAAGCCACGGCUAACUACGUGCCAGCAGCCGCGGUAAUACGUAGGUGGCGAGCGUUGUCCGGAUUUACUGGGCGUAAAGGGUGCGUAGGCGGAUGUUUAAGUGAGAUGUGAAAUACCCGGGCUUAACUUGGGUGCUGCAUUUCAAACUGGAUAUCUAGAGUGCAGGAGAGGAGAAUGGAAUUCCUAGUGUAGCGGUGAAAUGCGUAGAGAUUAGGAAGAACACCAGUGGCGAAGGCGAUUCUCUGGACUGUAACUGACGCUGAGGCACGAAAGCGUGGGUAGCAAACAGGAUUAGAUACCCUGGUAGUCCACGCCGUAAACGAUGAGUACUAGGUGUAGGAGGUAUCGACCCCUUCUGUGCCGCAGUAAACACAUUAAGUACUCCGCCUGGGAAGUACGAUCGCAAGAUUAAAACUCUAAGUGAAUUGAC